rnacentral:rRNA from 1 species
GCACAACAUCUAGCACAACACCCAUUACCCACCACGCGUCCCUUAUCCACACAACAUCUAGCAACACCCACCGCACAUUUCCUCCUCUUCUCCAUUCUACCUGACGCGUUGCUCUCCCUUCUCUAUCCAGAGUGCCCAAGAACGGCUUGGCGUCGCUCCGCCACUCCUGUAGUGCGCGGCCGUGGUGGCUUGGAGAAUGCGCAACGAUGGCGCCUUGGAGCUCCUCUGUUGUCGUCCGAUCUGGCCGCCCGCCCAGCGCUCCAGAUCGGGCCAAUAUCCUCCCGGCAAGGCUUCCUCCAUCCUCCCGUCCGAGGAACGGCGACCGCCUUCUCACCCUCAGCAGCGGCCGUAGCCAUCUCCGCCGCCGUCCCGGACGGACGACAGGGCUAGGACUGGCGGAGGCCGAAGAUGGCUGCCGGCGGCGCAUGACCGAAUGGGCGCGUGCGUCUAGAUAAGAUACACAAAUAAAGGAUUGUGGGUUGAAUUCUAACUAAUGCAGGUGUGUUUCUCCCUGCCUCUCCUCCUUCCUUUCUGUCCCCCUUACCUCUGUCUCUCUCACAGGUGCAGCACCGCCGUCGCCAUGGAGAGACCCUGUCGGAGCUCGCCAUGUCGAUCGAAACCGGCGAGGAACGCCACCGCCAUGAACUUGGAGUUCAAACCCCGCCGCUGGACCUCCUCCCGCGCCUCCUAGAUCGCCUCCACGCCGUACUUGCAACAGGAUCCGGCCACCGCCGCGCCUCCUCGGCCGGAUCUGGCCGGAGAUCGCCGCCGCCGUGCCCGGCGUCGUCUGCAUCGCGGCAGUCUCGACAUCCAACUCGCUUCGCUCGCCAAUAACCACUUUGUUGAAUAUAAAAAACACAGGGUCCUUUUUGUAAGAACGACACGUUUUCUCACAAUAGCACUUCAGAUUGUACUGCGGGUUGAAUAUCCAAAAUAGGUGGGACUUUUUUUUUAAAUUGCCACGACGGACGACCAGAAGCAAUGCGUGGUUUAUUAGUAGGGAAAGAAAUAUAUAUAGUAAAUUAACAAACAAACAGAAGCAAGCAAGUGCUCAUCCCGCAUAAAAAUUGUAAUCGGUGCAUUGAUCCAGCAGCUUCGGUCGGUCCAGCACAACAUCUAGCACAACACCCAUUACCCACCACGUGUCCCUUAUCCACACAACAUCUAGCAACACCCACCGCACAUUUCCUCCUCUUCUCCAUUCUACCUGACGCGCUGCUCUCCCUUCUCUAUCGAGAGUGCCCAAGAACGGCUUGGCGUCGCCCCGCCACUCCUGUAGUGCGCGGCCGUGAUGGCUUGGAGAACGCGCAACGAUGGCGCCUUGGAGCUCCUCUGUUGUCGUCCGAUCUGGCCGCCCGCCCAGCGCUCCAGAUCGGGCCAAUAUCCUCCCGGCGAGGCUUCCAACAUCCUCCCGUCCGAGGAACGGCGACCGCCUUCUCACCCUCAGCAGCGGCCGUAGCCAUCUCCGCCGCCGUCCCGGACGGACAACAGGGCUAGGACUGGCGGAGGCCGAAGACGGCUGCCGGCGGCGCAUGACCGAAUGGGCGCGUGCGUCUAGAUAAGAUACACAAAUAAAGGAUUGUGGGUUGAAUUCUAACUAAUGCAGGUGUGUUCUCCCUGCCUCUCCUCCUUCCUUUCUGUCCCCCAUACCUCUGUCUCUCUCACAGGUGCAGCACCGCCGUCGCCAUGGAGAGACCCUGUCGGAGCUCGCCAUCUCGAUCGAAACCGGCGAGGAACGCCACCGCCAUGAACUUGGAGUUCAAGCCCCGCCGCUGGACCUCCUCCCGCGCCUCCUAGAUCGCCUCCACGCCGUACUUGCAACA